UGGGGAUGGAUGCCGCAGUUACAACUGACGCCAAGUGAUGGACGAAGUCUUACCCGGUGGUUUGCUUGUAAUUGUUGCGGACACGGUACAGGUGUGAACACAGGGCCUCCUAUCUUGGGAAUUACCUGUGGAAAGGCCACAGUAUGCGCUUUCCAUUGUGUUUAUCGUGAAGGCAGGACAGCUCCGGAUCGGAGUGCAGAUGUGUAUUCUCGUGACAAGCCCAGGUCCACCUCACUGGUUUCUCCUCAAUCCUGAUGAUUGCUCAUGGCCGAAAAUUCGGUGGUGAUUAUUGAAUUUGCAGCAAAGAGACCACUUCCUUUGGUGAU